GCUUUGCUUUGAAGAGCUCUAGUGUAUCUGAUUUUCUUUUUUUCCUCUUCAUUGCCUGUGCUUUGGGGAUCACAUCCAAGAAACCACUGAUAAAUGCAAGGUCCUAUAGUUAUUCUCCUGUGUUUUCUUCUAAGAGUUUUACAGCUAAUUUUUAAAAAGAAAAUAAAAUCCCAAGCCUCUAGUCUACCCCAGAGUAGUACUGCCGCCCCAGGAAACCACAGUUUCCAAAACGUUCUCCCAAAGUUGUGAAGCAGCUGCCUUUUCCAUGGUAUUAGCUCUUAAGACAAAGUUCUUAAUAUUUAGCUGGACUCAGCUUUAAAAUCACUCGUGCUGAUUAAUUCAAAUAUUAUUGUCUGGGGAAAAUGAGAUGAGUGUUAAAAUCUCAUAUAUAGAUGAGAACAUCUAAAUAUGUCAGCAGGUUGUUAAUGAGUGAUUGGUCAGCUACUCUAUAGACAAAAAAAAAAAAAAGAUAAAGAAAGAAAAGAGAAAAGAAAGAGAACACACAUCCCCACCUAAUGUCAGUGCCUUCUAAAGUGAGCCAGUUUUCCCAACUGCUCCUGUUUUGGUGGCCCCUUCCCCUCCCAUGGAAGUUCUCAAGCUGUCAGCAAGCCUCUUAAAGCUGGCACCUAUACUGAUUGCCGACUUGACAGCAGAAGCAGUCCUGCGGGGCGAUAUUCAACCCACAGCCCUGCAGACUGUCAGAGAGGACAGCUUGGGACAUUUUUACCCUUUGAAAAGACAAAAGGAAUUUGUUUUUCUAAAAAUAGUGGGGACUGGAAUUUAAUCUAAGUAUGAAGUUAAGUCUCCGGGCCAUCUGUCCUCCCCAUCCUUAGCAUCCAGAGACAGACGGGAGGGAGUCUAGGCCAGAGGCAGACUCAGGUGCUGGGAAGGGAAGUCAGAGUCUCCUCACCCCACCCCAUCUCCGCUCCCCCGGGUGUGGUUCUGACUUAUGUCAGCCAUGUCUGUCUGUGUCAGGGCUAGUCUGGGUGGGCUGUGUGUGAACUCUGUGGUAUUAACUCAUGGGAGGUAGCAGGCCAAAGCAUCCACAAGCCUGCCAACCCCCACAACUCCAGGGUGUGCUGUUUAUAUCACAGAGGUGUGUCAUCUACAUCCUUAGCUGGACAGACAUAGUACAACCUGCGCCGAGGGCCAGAGAGCAGUAGGCAGCAUCAGCAGACUCCAUCUUGAUGGAGCUGUGGGUAAACACAGAGGGAGUGUGGAGACUCUGCCAUACCCCGGCUCUUCCAGGUGGUGUCCGUGCACCGUGUGUGGCUAGAUGUUCCAGCUUUUUGCUUCCUCCCCCUUCCCCUCCUUUCUCUCCCUAGCCUGUCCUCUUGAACUUCUCUUGGGGGCUCAGCAACAGAUGGGAUUCGUUUCCUCUUUGGCUCUAAAGUGUCCUGGCGUUGAAAAAUGUCAAAUAAAAUAAACUGUGGGUCCCUGCCUUCUCCCAGACUGGCUCUUUAUCCCAGAGGCACCGAGCUCAAGUCUUAAAGAGACACCUCUAGUCUCAGAGCACAGUACCCCGCCUCUGCUCCCUGAGAACCCCAUUGACUGCUCUCUUACUUAGCUCACACAUGACUGUCAGGCCCCAAGAUGCCCAUCCAGCUCUGCUGGGGAGAACCCUGCAUGGGCACUGGGUUUGCAGUUUUCCCAAAGAGAGCUUGCUGAGUGCGGUUGGACAGGGAAGAGCUGCCCACGAUCUUGUGGUGCCUUUGCCUUCUAUUCUCCCCACCCCCAACCCCUGCUAGUCUCUAGGCAUCCCUCUGGUGGGCAGCUGGACCAGCUCUGCCAUUGGCCAAUGAAUAUGCAGGGUGUGUGCAUGGGGGAGGAGCUAAAAGGGAGGCAGGGCUAGGGAUGUAUGUAGCUCAGAGGUGGAGCACCAGUGGGGACCUGGGUUCUAUCCCCAUGCACAUUUCUCUUCACUGUGGUCAAACAUCUAAGGAGAAGUCACUUAAAGGAGGAGGCCUUUACUUUCACUCACAGUUUGAAGAGGUACAGUUCAUCACAGCAGGGAGGCAGGGUGACAGGGCCAUGAGGUGACAGAGCAAACCACAUCCACUGUCAGGAAGCAGAGAGCAGACAGGAAGUGAGCCAAGCUAUAAAACCUCAAGGUCCACUCCAGUGACACAUUUCCUCCAGCAAGGCUCCUCCUCCUAAAGGUUCCACAACCUUCCAAAUGAUGUUGGGGGAUCAAAUGUUCAAACACGUGAGCCUAUGGGAACAUUUCAUAUUGGAACCAUAAUAAUGUAGU
rnacentral:lncRNA from 1 species